GACGAACGCUGGCGGCGUGCUUAACACAUGCAAGUCGAACGGAAAGGCCCUGCUUUUGUGGGGUGCUUGAGUGGCGAACGGGUGAGUAACACGUGAGUAACCUGCCCUUGACUUUGGGAUAACUUCAGGAAACUGGGGCUAAUACCGUAUAGGAGCUCCUGCUGCAUGGUGGGGGUUGGAAAGUUUCGGCGGUUGGGGAUGGACUCGCGGCUUAUCAGCUUGUUGGUGGGGUAGUGGCUUACCAAGGCUUUGACGGGUAGCCGGCCUGAGAGGGUGACCGGCCACAUUGGGACUGAGAUACGGCCCAGACUCCUACGGGAGGCAGCAGUGGGGAAUAUUGCACAAUGGGCGGAAGCCUGAUGCAGCAACGCCGCGUGCGGGAUGACGGUCUUCGGGUUGUAAACCGCUUUCGCCUGUGACGAAGCGUGAGUGACGGUAAUGGGUAAAGAAGCACCGGCUAACUACGUG
rnacentral:rRNA from 1 species